rnacentral:rRNA from 1 species
UACGGAGGGUGCAAGCGUUAUCCGGAUUUAUUGGGUUUAAAGGGUCCGUAGGCGGAUCAUUAAGUCAGUGGUGAAAUCCGACAGCUCAACUGUCGAACUGCCAUUGAUACUGAUGAUCUUGAGUACGGUUGAAGUAGACGGAAUAUGACAUGUAGCGGUGAAAUGCUUAGAUAUGUCAUGGAACACCGAUUGCGAAGGCAGCCUACUAAGCCGUUACUGACGCUGAGGGACGAAAGUGUGGGGAGCGAACAGG